GCUUAACACAUGCGAGUCGAACGGAGAAUCUUUCUUCGUGGCGUACGGGUGAGUAAUACACAGGAAUCUGCCUUUUAGUUCAGGCUAAAAUUCUGAAUAAUCAAAGAAAUCUUUUCGCUAAAAGAUGAGCCCGUGGAGGAUUAGGUAGUUGGUAUUGGGUAAAAGCCUACCAAGCCUAUGAUCCUUAGCUGUUCUGAGAGGUUGUACAGCCACACUGGGACUGAGACAAGGCCCAGGCUCCAUUCGGAGCCAGCAGUGAGGAAUUUUGGACAAUGAGCGAAAGCUUGAUCCAGCAAUACUACAUGAGUGAUGAAGGCUUUCAAGUUGUAAAACUCUUUGGUUGAGGAGGAUAAUGACAGUACUCAACAAAAUAGCCCCGGCUAACUUCGUGCCAGCAGCCGCGGUAAGACGAAGGGGGCGAGCGUUAUCCGGAAUGACUGGGCGUAAAGGGUCCGUAGGCAGCAUUUUUUGUUAGAGGUAAAAGAAAAAAGCUCAACUUUUUUUGGCUUCUAAAACGUAAAUGCUCUGAGUUUGAAAGGGGAUAGCAGAAUUUCACAUGGAGGGGUGAUAUUCGUAGAUAUGUGAAGGAAUACCAGAGGCGAAGGCGGCUAUCCAGUUCAAUACUGACGUUGAGGGACGAAAGCAUGGGGAGCAAACAGGAUUAGAUACCCUGGUAGUCC
rnacentral:rRNA from 1 species